GAUGAAGAACGUAGCGAAAUGCGAUAAGUAAUGUGAAUUGCAGAAUUCCGUGAAUCAUCGAAUCUUUGAACGCACAUUGCGCCCCCUGGUAUUCCGGGGGGCAUGCCUGUCCGAGCGUCAUUUCAACCUUCAAGCGCGGCUUGUGUGUUGGGUCUCGUCCCCCGUGGACGGGCCCGAAAGGCAGUGGCGGCGUCCCGACAUGGUGCCCGAGCGUAUGGGAAUCCUCUUCCGCUCGAAUCGGCCCAUGCGGCGCUGGUCGUAACCAAAUUUUUUACCGGUUGACCUCGGAUCAGGUAGGGAUACCCGCUGAACUUAAGCAUAUCAAUAAGCGGAGGA
rnacentral:misc_RNA from 1 species